rnacentral:lncRNA from 1 species
UCAGGAGGUUCCACCCCCGGAGUCUUCCGACAACGAUGGUUGAACGACUAUGAACGUAAGUUUCAAAAAAAUCGAACAUCGACUUGUCCAGCUUCAGGUGGAAGGUCAGAAAUCCUCUAGUGACUACGACUUCCAUACCAUCCAAUCUCUUUCUCGACACAUCUUGGACGAGUGAUCCCAUCUCGAUUCAAGAUGCCGCAAGUG